AGGGAAAAUAAAUUAAAUAUGCAGUCAAAAAGGCUCCAAAGACAUAACAGAAUGUCUUUAUAAUAAAAUAUGACAUUGAUAAACCCCCCAUGUUUUAUCUUCAAUGCAAAAAUCAUAAAAACCAUGACAACUGCCACAUGGACCAUUACAUGUGAUGAAUAGAACUCUAUCCAGAGCAGUACGUCUCCUGCUCUUCUAGGAGGGUUCGGUACAGCUUCCUGCUCUUCCAGGGGGGUUCGGUACAGCUUCCUGCUCUUCCAGGGGGGUUAGGUACAGCUUCCUGCUCUUCCAGGGGGGUUCGGUACAGCUUCCUGCUCUUCCAGGGGGGUUCGGUACAGCUUCCUGCUCUUCCAGGGGGGUUCGGUACAGCUUCCUUCUCUUCCAGGGGGGUUCGGUACAGCUUCCUGCUCUUCCAGGGGGGUUCGGUACAGCUUCCUGCUCUUCCAGGGGGGUUCGGUACAGCUUCCUGCUCUUCCAGGGGGGUUCGGUACAGCUUCCUGCUCUUCCAGGGGGGUUCGGUACAGCUUUCCCCAGACCAGGAGACAGGCGGACACGUCACUCAGCCUUUUGGCUGAAAAACACCCAACGUUUCUACGAAUCCAUUCUG